rnacentral:rRNA from 1 species
AUUGAACGCUGGCGGUAGGCCUAACACAUGCAAGUCGAGCGGCUGAAGGGAGCUUGCUCCUGGAUUCAGCGGCGGACGGGUGAGUAAUGCCUAGGAAUCUGCCUGGUAGUGUGGGCUAACGUCCGGACACGGGCGCUAAUACCGCAUACGUCCUGAGGGCGUAAGUGUGGGAUCUUCGGACCUUACGCUAUCACAUGAGCCUAUGUCGGAUUAGCUAGUUGGUGGGGUAAAGGCCUACCAAGGCGACGAUCCGUAACUGGUCUGAGAGGAUGAUCAGUCACACUGGAACUGAGACACGGUCCAGACUCCUACGGGAGGCAGCAGUGGGGAAUAUUGGACAAUGGGCGAAAGCCUGAUCCAGCCAUGCCGCGUGUGUGAAGAAGGUCUUCGGAUUGUAAAGCACUUUAAGUUGGGAAGAAGAGCAGUAAGUUAAUACCUUGCUGUUUUGACGUUACCAACAGAAUAAGCACCGGCUAACUUCGUG